rnacentral:rRNA from 1 species
UCAGACGAUGCGUCAUGCAUAUCAAUAAGCGGAGGAAAAGAAACUAACAAGGAUUCCCCUAGUAACGGCGAGUGAAGCGGGAAGAGCUCAAAUUUGAAAUCUUAAAGGGUUUCCCUUUACGAAUUGUAGUUUAAAGAAGUGUUUUCUGUUGAGGUUUUGGUAAAAGUUCUUUGGAAUAGGACAUCAUAGAGGGUGAGAAUCCCGUAUUUGACCUUUACUUUCAACUUUGUGAUACACUUUCAAAGAGUCGGAUUGUUUGGGAAUGCAGUCCAAAAUGGGUGGUAAAUUUCAUCUAAAGCUAAAUAUUGGCGAGAGACCGAUAGCGAACAAGUACCGUGAGGGAAAGAUGAAAAGAACUUUGAAAAGAGAGUUAAACAGUACGUGAAAUUGUCAAAAGGGAAGCGUUUGACACCAGUGUUGUUUUUCUGAAAAUCAAUUAAAGAACUGUUUAUGCUAAGCUGUUUAGACUUUAUCAGCUAUCUGUUUAGUUUUGAGCUUUUCUUUAAUGCACUUUUCAGUUAACAAGUCAACAUCAAUUUCUUUUGCUGUAAAAAAGCUUGAGGAAGGUGGCUUGAGAUUCGUCUUAAGUGUUUAUAGCCUCUUGCCUAUGCAGUCGGAGAGAUUGAGGUCUGCAGCGUAGAUCCUUCGGGGCUAAAUGCAUUUGUGCUAAGUUAUAGCAUUUUAUAGACAACUUGUUGACUAUGAUUUGUCUUGUAGCUUACUCGCUUAUGUUAUUUUACCUACGCUUAGGAUGUUGACACACUCGCGUGCUCG